rnacentral:lncRNA from 9 species
AUGCAGAGUAUUCUCAUGUCCAUUUUUUCAGAAUUUCUUAGGUGCCACACAAAACUUCAUUCUUUCAUCAGCCAAAACAAAACAACCCAAAAACUCCCUUGUUUUUUCAGGAAAAUUACUUCCUUUUGGCCUCCCAGCAUUGCACCAGACAUCUGGAUUUCAGUGUGGGCCCACUUGUUAUUAAUAAAACAUAUAUCAUGCUCACACGCGUAUGGAUUUCGUAUCAUUUUGGUUUACUGCGGAAGCAAAAGGCUGCCCUUGAAUUACAGGCUUCAUAUGAAGUAUGAAAGUGUGCAGAGGGAAGAAAAGAACACAUUGAGAGAGAAGCAGGUGAGAGACGGUGCAGGCCUGGGAAGAGAUAACAAGACUGCCUGUAAGAUAGCUGUAAUUCUUAUCCCUAUUAUACAGAUGAGGGAAAGGAAGCUUAGAGAUCUGAAAAAUUUGGAAAUAUCAGAGGCAGCCAGUAAAUCUGUGGAUUGCAGAUUUCUCAUGCCUGUAAUAACUUUGAGGAUAGUGAUUGGAGAGGAGUGGGUCUGACAUGAUUAGAUUUAUCUUUAUUUAUUACUAUAUUGUAUUAUUAUAGUAGAUAUAAUUGCUAAUAUUUAUUACUUUUUCUGUUUGAAAAACAUCAAUUAAAGAAAGUGUAGUGGGUGUAGUAAAUACUUAAAACAUGUCUGAAUCCUGGUUUAAUUGAAAAAAUAUGUAUUUUGCCAUCAGUGUGUGGAGUGUUUUGUAAAUCUCAAUUAGAUCCUACUAGUUGGUGGUGCUGUUAGCACCCUCUAUGUCCUUACUGAUUGUAUUUAAUGGUUCUAUUAAAUGUUGAGAGAAGAGUGUUAAAAUCUCCAAUAUAAUUGUGGGUUUAUCUAUUUUUCCUUUUAGUUCUAUCAGUUCUUGUUUUGCUUAUUUCGAGCUCUGUUUUGGUGCAUACAUAUUUAGAAUUUCUCUCUUGGGUGGAUUGACCCUUUAUCAUUAUGUGAUGUUCCAAUUUGUCCCUGGUAAUUUUCUUUGUUCUAAAGCCUACUUUUUAUGAUAUUAAUAUAGAC